ensembl:lncRNA
GGCAUGAAGGAUAGGGGCUCUGUAAUCCCAGUAAAAUUUUCAGCUCGUCUUUGUCCUGUCUUUUUCCGCUCAUCUCCCACCCAUUUGCGGCAGAUGGCCACCCGUCCAUGAGCCUGGUUCUGCAGGACAUUUCUUCAUGUUAAAAGAAAUAGUACAGACAGGCUUUUGAGUCAUGUUCUCACACUUUGUGCUUCAGCCAGACUCACACAGCAUUCAGGAGAGCUGCUCCCAGACUCAGGCGCCUCAGUAAAAUCAUCAGUCAUGUUCAGCUCUGCUCUGCCUGGUCUUGACAGCGAGAGGGACACAGAUUUGCAGCAUUACCUUAUCGUAGUCGGACUAUAUCUGCUUUAAAAAUGAAGGCCUGUCAGGAAGAAAAAUACGCUGAGCAUUUUUAAAUUUUGUCAUUUCCCAGGACAAAAUGUGUACUUUCAAGGCUUUGAUACAUUAGGGACCUUCGACUGCAUGUUCUUCUCGGUCAGCUGUAAUUGUAAUUUGGC